rnacentral:lncRNA from 1 species
UACACCUGAAGCCACCCCCAAGUGUAAAACCGCUCGCAAAGCUCACUGUGCCAGUAGAAUUUUCUCAUAAAUGGUUUGGUUUUUAUUAAUGAGAUUACACAUACACACAGAGGGAAUAAACUGUUCCCACGAGAAUAUGUUCUAGGAAAAGCACUAGUUCAGGGCAAAUCUAAUAUGUGUCAACAAGCCCCUUAUAGUAGAGCAAAGUUUUGAACCCAAAUACAGAAGAAGAGAUUCUAGAACUUCAUUGAGAAAAAAAUGACUCAUCAAACUAAACACCCCCAUUCACAUCACUGAAUCCAUGAUCCCAAUGGUAUAGGUACCCAUCUUCUCUUCCCUGCACUUAUUUCACCAGGGGAAAUGUCUUUCCUCCUACAGAAGAACUAUCCUUCCCCAUGUGCUCUGGACCUCAUCCUCUUUCUCCUACUCAAGGACCUUAUUGACCUGGUUCUCCUAUCUCUCUCCAACAUUGCUAGAAUAUAACCAUGUUAUAGUCUCUCCUCUUUUAAAUAAAGCAAAACUUCCCAUAGCAGCACCUUCCCUCCAGUUUUCCCUCCAUUUCUUUCUUUGCUUCACAGGAAAAUUCAUCAAAAGUGCUGACCACGCCAACUGCCUCCAUGUCAUCACUUCCCAUCCAUUCUCCAACCACACCAGUAAAGCAAUCACUAUUUCCACUAAAAUUGCUCUUUCUGCAUGUCUGUAAUCUCAGCUAUUCAGGAGUGUGAGGCAGGAGGAUCCCUUGAGCCCAGGAAUUUGGAAUCAGCCUGUACAACAUAAAGAGACUCCAUGUCCUUUCCCCCCCCCAUUAUUUUAAUUGGUGCACGACAGUUGUACAUGAUGGUGGAAUUUGUUGUUACAUAUUCAUACAUGCACACUAUAUAAAAAUCUAAUUUGGCCAAUAUGAUUCCUGAGUAUUUCCCUUUUCUCUCCCAGAGAGACUCCAUGUCUUAAAAAUAUAGAGAGAAAUUGUUCUUUCCAAGGUCAUUUAGGCACUCCACACUCUCAAUGCCAAAGUCAUUUACCCAUUUCUAUCUAAUCUUGUUCAAGCUCUUAGCAGCAUCUCACAGUUGGACCCCUCCUUUCUUCCUCUUUUCAUGGAUUCAAUAAGUAUUUAGUGAGUACUUAUCAUGUGCCUCAUCUCUGUUCUAGUAAUAUGACAGUGAAUGAGACUUAAUGUGUCCCUGAUUUCAUGGAAUUUAUAUUCUAGAGGAGAGGUCCUGGCCAUCAGUAUGCAAGCCAAUAAAUAAAAUGCUAUGGAAACAUAAAACUAGGUGGCAAGGCAAAAGGUGAUUGGGACUGGAGGGAGGAAGUGGCCUUUCUAAGGAGAUGAUAUUUGAAUUCACAUCUAAGAGAUGAACAGAAGAAGUCAUGGGAAGAUCUGGGGUGAGCAUCCUGGGCAGAGAGCACAGCAAAUGUCAAGGCCCCAGGAUAGAAAAAAUCUUGGAGCAUUUGAGAAACACUGUAGAGACCAGUCAGGCUGGAGCAUCAUGAACAAGAGGAGAACAAUCAGAGAUGGUUCUGAAAGGGCCAGCAGAAGCCAGAUCAUGCAGGGCCUUGUAGGUCUUGGUAAGGAAUUCAAAUUAUUAAGCCUCUGAAAUAGGGAGUGUUGGUUUUGGUAACAGGUUGGCCUUUCCUGGGUAAUGCAUGGAACUUCUCCCUGCUUCUGUAUAUACCCUCUCCUAGGAUUUUCAUCCACUCUCAUGAAUUUAAAAUCCAUCAAUCUGCUGAAGAGUCCCAAAGUUAGAUCUUCAGACAACAAUUCUCCUGGGAACCAGAACUAACUUCUCAGCUCUUUUUUCCUUACCCACUGUGCCCACUCCAUCAGGAGUCCCAUCCAAUCUACUUCCACCAUCAUCCCUGUCCUCGCUGGGGAGAGCGGUGACAGAGGAUGGGAGAGCAGUGUCUGAGAUUGGGGUCUCAGAUGACCUCAUGGCUGUGGCAAGCCUAGCGCCUGGGAAUGUUCCUAUGCAAGGAUGCAGGAUGCCUAGCUGCUGUGGCAAUGCCCUCCAUGAGGAGGCUCUGAGGCAGAGUCUUAUCAACCUGAACCUUGAUCUCAGGCACAUGGUUCCUGAGAAUAGAGGAACUCUCCUGUUAGGCAACCACAAAGUUUCACCAGCUCCAUUAUUUCCAAAGCUGCUGCUUAACAGUAACUUUAAACAAUGGACUUUCUCAAGAGCUACACAAAGCUCCUAACAUUACACAUUGCUACUGUAAAAUACAACUGUGGAAAAGCUACAUAAAUGUUUCUAGCCCUCUAACUUUCUGAGUAUGAAAAAUAAAGCAUGCAUAGUCUUUAACCUGAUAAUGAAACAUAUAUAAAUAAAGAUUGCUGGAGUAACUCUUUAGAUCUGCUUCUCCAUUAGCACUCCACCUGAUCCCAACUAUUUUAUCUUCAAAAUCUACGUCGGUGAGUAUUUAUU